UGACAGGUGGUGCAUGGUUGUCGUCAGCUCGUGUCGUGAGAUGUUGGGUUAAGUCCCGCAACGAGCGCAACCCUCGACCUUAGUUGCCAGCAUUCAGUUGGGCACUCUAAGGUGACUGCCGGCUAAAAGUCGGAGGAAGUGGGGAUGACGUCAAAUCAUCAUGCCCCUUAUGACCUGGGCUACACACGUGCUACAAUGGGCGGUACAAAGGGUCGCGAACCCGCGAGGGGGAGCCAAUCCCAAAAAGCCGCUCUCAGUUCGGAUUGCAGGCUGCAACUCGCCUGCAUGAAGCCGGAAUCGCUAGUAAUCGCGGAUCAGCAUGCCGCGGUGAAUACGUUCCCGGGCCUU
rnacentral:rRNA from 1 species